UUCGUAGGUGGCCUACUAAGUCAUACGUGAAAUCCCUCAGCUUAACUGGGGAACUGCGUCUGAUACUGGAAGGCUUGAGUGCAGGAGAGGAACGCGGAAUUCCAGGUGUAGCGGUGAAAUGCGUAGAUAUCUGGAGGAACACCGGUGGCGAAGGCGGCGUUCUGGACUGCAACUGACACUGAGGAACGAAAGCCAGGGAGCAAACG
rnacentral:rRNA from 1 species